rnacentral:piRNA from 1 species
UCAACAAAAGGAGAACAAUGUGCUUGAAGGC